UGGGGAAUAUUGGACAAUGGGGGCAACCCUGAUCCAGCCAUGCCGCGUGGGUGAUGAAGGCCCUAGGGUUGUAAACCCCUUUCACCCGUGACGAUGAUGACGGUAGCGGGAGAAGAAGCCCCGGCUAACUCCGUGCCAGCAGCCGCGGUAAGACGGAGGGGGCUAGCGUUGUUCGGAAUUACUGGGCGUAAAGCGCGCGUAGGCGGCUCUUCAAGUCAGGCGUGAAAGGCCCGGGCUCAACCUGGGAACUGCGCUUGAGACUGGAGGGCUUGAGUCCGGGAGAGGGUGGUGGAACUCCCAGUGUAGAGGUGAAAUUCGUAGAUAUUGGGAAGAACACCGGUGGCGAAGGCGGCCACCUGGCCCGGCACUGACGCUGAGGCGCGAAAGCGUGGGGAGCAAACAGGAUUAGAUACCCCCGUAGUCC
rnacentral:rRNA from 1 species